ACCCGCUGAAUUUAAGCAUAUCAAUAAGCGGAGGAAAAGAAACCAACAGGGAUUCCCCCAGUAACGGCGAGCGAAGGGGGAAUAGCUCGAGCCUUAAAUCUCCGGGCACCGGCGAAUUAGUAGCGCAGAGAGGCACCUACGGUCGGCCAAAGUUGACCUGGAAUGGCGCGUCAGAGAGGGUGAGAACCCCGGAGAGUCAGGUUGUUUGGGAAUGCAGCCCAAAGUGGGUGGUAAACUCCACCUAAAGCUAAAUAUUAAGCACGAGACCGAUNGCAAACAAGUACCGUGAGGGAAAGGUUGAAAAGUACUUUGAAAAGAGAGUCAAAGAGAACGCGAAACCGUUAGGAGGGAAACGCAU
rnacentral:rRNA from 1 species